GGCCGUUUUCCAUGUCUUAACACCCUUCACACGGGUGGGGUCACAGGUUCAAUCCCUGUCGCGCCCACCA
rnacentral:tRNA from 1 species